GACGAACGCUGGCGGCGUGCUUAACACAUGCAAGUCGAACGGAAAGGCCCUGCUUUUGUGUGGUGCUCGAGUGGCGAACGGGUGAGUAACACGUGAGUAACCUGCCCCUGACUUUGGGAUAACUUCAGGAAACUGGGGCUAAUACCGGAUAGGAGCUCCUGCUGCAUGGUGGGGGUUGGAAAGUUUCGGCGGUUGGGGAUGGACUCGCGGCUUAUCAGCUUGUUGGUGGGGUAGUGGCUUACCAAGGCUUUGACGGGUAGCCGACCUGAGAGGGUGACCGGCCACAUUGGGCCUGAGAUACGGCCCAGACUCCUACGGGCGGCAGCAGUCGGGAAUAUUGCACAAUGGGCGGAAGCCUGAUGCAGCAACGCCGCGUGCGGGAUGCCGGCCUUCGGGUUGUAAACCGCUUUCGCCUGUGACGAAGAGUGAGUGACGGUAAUGGGUAAAGAAGCACCGGCUAACUACGUG
rnacentral:rRNA from 1 species